CCGAGUUGACAACUCCCUAAACCCCUGUGAACAUACCUAUACGUUGCUCGGCGGCGGAUCAGGCCCCCCGGCCCCCGUAGGGACGGCCCGCCGGAGGAUACCCUAAACUCUGAAUUUAGUGGACUCUCUGAGUAUCUACUGAAUAAGUCA
rnacentral:misc_RNA from 1 species